rnacentral:rRNA from 1 species
UGCCAGCAGCCGCGGUAAUACGUAGGUUCCAAGCGUUAUCCGGAUUCACUGGGCGUAAAGCGUGCGUAGGCGGCUUUUUAAGUCGGAUGUGAAAUCCCUGAGCUUAACUUAGGAAUUGCAUUCGAUACUGGGAAGCUAGAGUAUGGGAGAGGAUGGUAGAAUUCCAGGUGUAGCGGUGAAAUGCGUAGAGAUCUGGAGGAAUACCGAUGACGAAGGCAGCCAUCUGGCCUAAUACUGACGCUGAGGUACGAAAGCAUGGGGAGCAAACAGGAUUAGAUA